GCUGGGUAUAUUGGUGUGUGCCUCUACAAUCCCUGUUAUAGGGAAGCUGAAGUUGGUGGAUUACUUGAGCUCAGGAGUUCUGAGCUACAGUAGGUUAAGCUAAUUUGGUGUCCACACUAAAUUGGGCAACAAUGUGAUGAGCCUCCUAGACUGGGGGACCACCAGGCUGCCUAAGGAGGGGCAAAAUGGCCCUGGCUGGAAAAAGAGCAAGUCUGGGGUAUAUAAAGCAAUGGAAUCAGGCCUAGGAGUGGCCACUGCACUUCCUGCCUGAGUGAGAUAGAGACUCAGUUUUU
rnacentral:SRP_RNA from 1 species